CUGUCAGACUGGUGUGCGACUCACACUCUCAUUCCAGGAAACAAAGUGGAUUGAUGGCCACCUCACACACGCACACACACGCACACACACAUAAAUGCACGCAUACACACGCACAGACUUUCCUGGGUUUUUGGUUAAUUAGGUGGGUUUUCUCAAUGAAAAGAAGACACAAGCUGAGAUGAUCCUACCAAAGGCAGCCAGAUUCAUCAUUCUCCUCGUUCUGGCUGCAAACAUCUAUUGGGAGACUAAGGGUGACACUCAACCUUCGGAAUUGUUUACACAAGAUGGAAAAUACAGACAUCAAUCCCAGAAACAUGUCAGGGAGAAAAGAAUUGCCACGAGUGAAACAAGCUUACCAAAUUGUUCGACAGUAAAUUGCUCAACAAUAGAACUGAUCAUCUUAGUGGACGCUCCAAAUGACUCUGUGCCAAAAGAGUUCACUAAUCUACUGAGGGAUGCAGUGGAAAAUGUCACCUUACCGUUCAACGUCACGGAUGAUUUAUUGCUAACAGGCGUAAAUUUCAUCACAGCCUGCACCCAAAACUCUACCGGAGGACCUGAGUGUCAAUGUGAAGAUUCCUUCACUUGGUCAUG